UAACUUUAGUAUUCAGAAGAAAAAAAACGGUAAAAGAAAAAACAUUCAUACUCUAUUCUAAAAAUCCCUAAUUUCAUUUACUUUCAUCACAUCUCUAGAUCUCCCUCUUCGUCCCAGGUCUCAGUAGAAGAGAGAAGAACCGCCUGAAGUUUGUGGGCAAACCUACCCCAAAUUCAUUCGCCGGCUACCUUCACCAGUCCCCAUGAAUUCACCGGUCAUUUCCUUCGCCAGUCUGCUCGUCUUCGUGCGAAUUCCGUCCCUAUUCCAAGCAACUUUGUUCUAUUACCACCACGCCACUGCCUAUCACUAUCACGCCAUUUCAUCGCCAAUCGAAAAUCAUUCCGGUGGGCAAUGUCUAUAUUCAGUAUCUGGAAGAAGAGCAAGUUGCUCAUGCUCUUCGUAAUUUGACUAGGAGACUAUAUUCUGGUAAGAUUCUUUCUGAUGGUGAAUAUUCUGUUUUGGAAGCCUUUUUAAAAAAAUCUUAGAGUUUAACUCAAUGCAAUUGUACCUGCAAUGUGCAUUGUAGGCCGUCCCAUCAUUGUCGAUUUCUCUCCAGUCACAGAUUUUCGUGAAGCCACUUGCAGGCAAUAUGAAGAGAACACUUGCAAUCGUGGUAGUUAUUGUAACUUCAUGCAUCUGAAGAAGAUUAACAGGUAAACUCAAUGGUGAUUUAUUAAGACUGUUUCAUUAAUAUUUAGUGCUGAAACAUGUGUUGGUUUCAUUACUUUUAUGUGGUUAGAGAGUUGUGAAGUCAGCUAUUCGGGAGGUAUAGGAGAUGACAUAGCACAAGCCAAAGCAUAAGCCCAUUCAGACACAAAAGCUAUGAUUAUGACAAUCGCCACCAUGGGCAUAGUCAUAGUAGCAAAACAUAUGGUAAUAGGGAUAGCUAUUAUGAGAGUCGGAGCACGAGACAUAAGAGCAGUAGUACUCACAAGCAUGGAAGAGGCAGAAGUCCUGCUGGUAGGAGAGAUAGAAGCCCCAUUAGGGAAGGAAGCAAAGAGAAGCGUGCAAAAAUUGAGCAAUGGAAUAGAGAAAAGGAAGAAGCUGAACAAGCUGCUAUGACAUAGAUUGAUACUGACAACAACAAUGAUGGUUAUCAUAAUAAAGCUGCACCGUAUGGUGCAGAGAACUAUGGUUACCAGCAGCCAAUACCACAGAGUCAGGAGGGAUAUGGAUAUUGAUCAACUUAUGGCAUGUACUUGGCAGAGCUCAUACGCACAAGCAUAAACAAGCUGGAGGAGGAGGAAUUUUGAGAUAAUAUAUAUUUUUACUUGUUAUAUAACAUAUUGCUUGAAAUUUUAGGAGCUAUAUUUUUAAGUUUGUGCACAUGAAUCGGAAGGAACAGGCCUAGGUGCUCUAUUUUUUUUAUAUAUAAUUUAGUUGAUUUUUGGAAUCUUCUAACAUUAUAUUGAUAUACAUGGGAUUUUGUAGUGAAUGAUAUUAAUGAAUGAAAAGGUAUUCAAUUAUAAAAUCAUUUGAAUUAUCUCAA